rnacentral:lncRNA from 1 species
GUAGGUGAAAAUUAGUAGAACAAUAUUUGAUUUUUAAUUCUCCGAUCAGCUAAGCAGUCUGAGCUAAGAUUUCUCCCUUUAACUAUGGCUGCCCCAUUCUUUUCUACACCAUUUCAACCUUUUGUUUACCAGGUAAUCGAUACAUAUAAUAUUGAAUUUAGGGUUUUAAAUUUUGAAUUUUUAUUUUGUUUGUAGUCAAUAAUUGUUGUCCCCUGUGUAUACAAUUAUGUGGAUCAAAUGUGUCGUAUAAAAGAGGAUGAAAUGAAUCAAUUUUAUAUAAUUUUCGUUGUGUUUGAACUUUGAUGAGAGCUUGUGAAUGCUCUAGAUUUACGGGCUGUGAUGAUCGUGUGCCUGAACUUUAACCUUUUUAACGUUUAAAAAAAAUUAAAAAAAAAAAUUGUGUUUGAAUUUUAACAUGCUCAUGUGCCUGAAUUUUGAAUUUUCUAAUAUAAAUGUCAUUCUUGCUCGCGAAUACGAUUACAUGUGAGUUAGGCAACCAUGAAUGCCUGAUUUGUACCUUGUAAUUUGUACUCGCAAACGCUCUGA